GCGGUGGUGCAGGGGUGACUAUGGACAUGAAAUCUUCCCAGAGCGUGGAAGUCGAAACAGAAGGAGGUUGGCUCUUCUGAUUGACAGGCUGGGCUAAAACUCACUGCUAACACGCGUGUCUUCCUCCGUGGGACCUGUUUUCCUACUGCCAGAGGCAUCCCCACAUGCUCAGAGUCACAGCACACAUGCUUGCCCUGUGUCCUGCAGUCCCAUGAGCCUCCCCAUGGCCAGCUGGGAGGCAUUGGACACCCACACACACACAGCAGACAAACUCCUCAGAUGUGGACUUGAA
rnacentral:lncRNA from 10 species